rnacentral:rRNA from 1 species
GGAAUAUUGGUCAAUGGACGCAAGUCUGAACCAGCCAUGCCGCGUGGAGGAUGAAGGCCCUCUGGGUUGUAAACUUCUUUUAUCUGGGACGAAAAAGGGCCUUUCUAGGUCAACUGACGGUACCAGAGGAAUAAGCACAGGCCACCUCCGUGCCAGCAGCCGCGGUAGUACGGAGGGUGCAAGCGUUAUCCGGAUUCACUGGGUUUAAAGGGUGCGUAGGUGGGUUGGUAAGUCAGUGGUGAAAUCUCCGAGCUUAACCUGGAAACUGCCAUUGAUACUAUCAGUCUUGAAUAUUGUGGAGGUCAGCGGAAUAUGUCAUGUAGCGGUGAAAUGCUUAGAUAUGACAUAGAACACCAAUUGCGAAGGCAGCUGGCUACGCAUAUAUUGACACUGAGGCACGAAAGCGUGGGGAUCAAAC